AAGUCAGUAACAAGGUUUCCAAGGUUAGGCUGAACCUGCGGGAAGGAAUCCGUUACGAAAAGUAAAAGCUUGGAUAAGGAAGGUGGGGUCAUUGGAUCUGUAAGUGGAUAGAGGCGAACAGUACCGGCUCGCCUCCCCGAAAAUGUCUUACAUGUCCCCCACAGCCUGAAGGCCGAAUUACAACCCUUGAUUAUCUACACUUGUUGCUUUGGGGUGCUCAAGUGCCCCAGAGGACCCAACUCUCUUGCAUUUAGUGACGUCUGAGUACUAUAUAAUAUUUAAAAA
rnacentral:misc_RNA from 1 species